UCUUGUCAUUCAGCGUUGUGAAACCAAAUGAGCUUCUCCAAGAGAAAGAACUGCAUGCAGCAUCUUCUCUGUGCUAAUAGCCUGAUGCAUACCAAUGUUCCACACACGUUCUGUUGAUUUGUACCCCAACCACGAAAGCAACCUUUUCUCUCCAACUUUUCUCUACUUGAACUGAGUCCAGGAAAGAGAAUGGAGCUCUGAUUCCAGUCCUUCCGUCAAUGAAUCCUCCUUGAAAGUGGAUGACAAGGAAUAGCUUGCAGUAUUCCACCUGAGGCUGCAUUAACUUAUUAAAAGAUUAUUGUUACCAUCUCUGUGCUGUUCCCCAUGCAUUCAAGCUGCCUUAUGUCUUCCUGUGCCGCAUCACUGUGUUGGGUGACUGCCAUUCUGUAGCCAAGGGACAAACUGAAGCCCUUAUCCUCCUCAGGUAAUAGCAGCCACCAAGGCUCCUCGAGAUUUUAUUGGUUUUCUUGGUGUUUAUACCUCCCAUGCCAUAUUACUGAGAUGUAUCCCCUUUUUAUUGAGUGUUUGUUCAACAGAACUAAAAGUUCUCAUAUUUUCUUUUUAGGGAGAAAAUAAGCAGUAAACUAUAGUUUGUGUGGGGGAAAUAACCAAAGGAUAUUUGAGAAAACAAAAUUGUAUUCUUUCACACUUGUAUAAAACACAUUAUUAAAGGCUGUCCUUUUCACUGACAAUCAGGACCAAGUCAGGAAAAUCAGAUUUUCAGUGCCAAGUUGUCCUCCUUUCAACUUAUUGUUGCAGGAGAACAUGCGAGCUGAAAACAAGGCCGAUUUUUUCAUACUUCAGUUGUUUUGAACUACUUGCUUUCCUGAACUAUUGCAAAACAUAGUACUGGGAAAGGGGUGUCUUUUAGUUCUAGUCAAAAAAUCUGACCUGUUUUCCCAGUUUCAGCAGGAAUGAGGAAUUAGGCAGAUUUUUAUGAUGCAGUCUGGUUAUAGUUAGUAAGGAAUGAUAGGGGAGGGAGCAGAUAUAGAAAAUAAUAAAGCAGCAGUGAUGCUGAUGCCAAGCCAUGUUUUCAUAAGAAAAAAAUGAACAACAGAUUUUUACUUUUUCUGAAUUGGCAGCUAUUUGUCCUCACUUGUGUGAAAUACUGACAAUAGAGAAUAUUUUUUUUUCUGGACAGAUUAAUGUACCUUGUUCGGUUUCUUUGGAGUUCUAUUCUUUGAUGUUUGUAUAAUUAAGGUUUGGUCCAUGUAUUUAAAGCCAUAUUUAGUAAGUGAAUAGGCUACAACAAUUAUCUUUGGAGACCAAGGUUUUUUAGAGUACUUAAUUGUCAGCCUUUAGGAAAUCAGAUGGAAUAAGGUGUUAAAGAAGAACAACAUGCUUUGUGAACAUUAUGUCAUUAGUGAACAGCAGGGGAUAGUCAGCCUACCUGUAUGCAUUUCAUUCAGCUGCUUGGGUCUAAUUGAAAUGACUUUUACUAGGGGAAAAAAGGCAAGUGAGUGGCAAGAGGAGUAGGAAAGUCACUGUUUAAUGUGAAUUGGAUAUUCUGGACUGAAGAUUCCAUUCAUAAAUAUUUUAUUAAGGAGAGUAGACCUCCAAAGGAAGCCUCCAAAUCCAUUUUCAACUGUAGUAUCAUGCCUGAUAAAGCAGUCUGUGGAAAUAUCUGGAAUAAAACUACGGAUCCACUUUUUCCCUCAUAAAGGAAAACCCUCUGGAGGUAUCUACUUUCCUCUGAUUAGAACAACAAAUCCAAGCGAUGGGAGACUUGUAAGGUAAAAACAAACAAACAAACAAAAAACCAAAACAUAAGGCAUUUAGAGUUGGGUCUUCAAUAUUUUUGUCCAUCCAUAGGGGUGAAGUUCAUAUAGCCAAGGAUGGUGCAUUUUGAAUGUUUAAUUAGAAUGUUUAGUAAUGUGUGUCCUAAAAAAUCAGCCUAUGAUUUGUAAUAAGUUGGUGUGCCUGGGCUCAUCUAAUAGCAGUGCAACUGUAGCAGCAUUGUGCUACUCUAAUCCUGUCAUUAGUAAAUGACAUGCAGAUUAUACAUGUACAGCUGUGUGUGACUCUUUUAAAGAGUAUCCAGCUUCUAUGUUACCAUUAAAUCCUGCUGAAAGAGAUUGCCAUAAUAGCAAUAUAUAAUAAUAUGACCUGUGUUCCUGUCUGCUGUUUCCAUCAUGUGGUUGGUUACUUUGUCACUAAUGCUGCAGGUACUUUGGUAUCCUGUAAAACACACAAAACAACAUUUAGUUUUAAAGUGGGACAUAGGGUUAUUUUCUUAUGUGAAGCACUGAAGCUACCAUAAGUCAUCGCAGGAUUGUCUGCUCCAAAAAUGAAGUACAGAAUAUGAAGCAGUCAGUGAUCUUAAAUCAGCUAUAUAUGGAAGAAAUAAUUAAUGCAAAUACAUACUCUAAAAUAGCA